ACGGGUGAGUAAUACAUCGGAACGUAUCCUGGAGUGGGGGAUAGCCCGGCGAAAGCCGGAUUAAUACCGCAUACGCUCUGAGGAGGAAAGCGGGGGACCUUCGGGCCUCGCGCUCAAGGGGCGGCCGAUGGCGGAUUAGGUAGUUGGUGGGGUAAAGGCCUACCAAGCCGACGAUCCGUAGCUGGUCUGAGAGGACGACCAGCCACACUGGGACUGAGACACGGCCCAGACUCCUACGGGAGGCAGCAGUGGGGAAUUUUGGACAAUGGGGGCAACCCUGAUCCAGCAAUGUCGCGUGUGUGAAGAAGGCCUUCGGGUUGUAAAGCACUUUUGUCCGGAAAGAAAUCAUCGGGGCCAAUACCCCUGGUGGAUGACGGUACCGGAAGAAUAAGCACCGGCUAACUACGUGCCAGCAGCCGCGGUAAUACGUAGGGUGCGAGCGUUAAUCGGAAUUACUGGGCGUAAAGCGUGCGCAGGCGGUGCUGUAAGACCGAUGUGAAAUCCCCGGGCUUAACCUGGGAACUGCAUUGGUGACUGCAGCGCUGGAGUAUGGCAGAGGGGGGUGGAAUUCCACGU
rnacentral:rRNA from 1 species